rnacentral:lncRNA from 1 species
GGGCCUGCCCUGCAGGCUCACCAAGAGCCUACUUUGCCAGAACUCCCAGGAUUGGCCACUGGAGAGGCCAUUGGACAGUGCCUGGGGACGCCGGCCCUACACAGAUCACCCACUGUGAGCCCAGGCUAACAGUCUACAUCUCAGGCGCGAUUGCGGGCCUUUACCAAUCAGACAGCCGGUGAAGUCUUCACCGCGGGUUAUCAGCCUCGCGCCACGGGAGACCACGCCACCAUCGCGCAGGACCCAGACCUGUCACCCUUUUUCUCCGCCCUGGUCCCGCAGGAAGCAGCCACAGAAAAGAGGCCUCCGCCCCUAUUCCACAAUAAAGUCAAGAGUCUGGAAUGACAGAGUUCUCUGCUGGAUAAAAUGGCCCUGCCUACAGGGAGCAGUCACUCCAGAGAGAACAAAGACCUGCUUUCUCCCGCCCCGCCCCGCUUGUAGCCAAUCAUCUGCCUCCACCGCAAGCCCCAGCCCCUGGUUGCUGCUCUCGCCAUUGUUCGAGACCACCCGGCAGCUCUGACCCUUAAUAAGGGCUCCGCCUUGG